rnacentral:rRNA from 1 species
UACGUAGGGGGCAAGCGUUACCCGGAUUUACUGGGCGUAAAGCGCGUGUAGGCGGCUGGCCAAGCGUGGUGUGAAAUCUCCAGGCUCAACCUGGAAACUGCAUUGCGAACUGGUCUGGCUGGAGUGCAGGAGAGGGAUGCGGAAUUCCCGGUGUAGCGGUGAAAUGCGUAGAUAUCGAGAGGAACACCUGCGGCGAAGGCGGGUUGCUGGGCUGACACUGACGCUGAGGCGCGAAAGCCAGGGGAGCGAACGGG